AGUGAACGCUGGCGGUAGGCCUAACACAUGCAAGUCGAACGGCAGCACAGUAAGAGCUUGCUCUUACGGGUGGCGAGUGGCGGACGGGUGAGGAAUACAUCGGAAUCUACUUUUUCGUGGGGGAUAACGUAGGGAAACUUACGCUAAUACCGCAUACGACCUACGGGUGAAAGCAGGGGAUCUUCGGACCUUGCGCGAUUGAAUGAGCCGAUGUCGGAUUAGCUAGUUGGCGGGGUAAAGGCCCACCAAGGCGACGAUCCGUAGCUGGUCUGAGAGGAUGAUCAGCCACACUGGAACUGAGACACGGUCCAGACUCCUACGGGAGGCAGCAGUGGGGAAUAUUGGACAAUGGGCGCAAGCCUGAUCCAGCCAUACCGCGUGGGUGAAGGAGGCCUUCGGGUUGGAAAGCCCUUUUGUUGGGAAAGAAAAGCAGCAGGUUAAUACCCCGCUGUUCUGACGGUACCCAAAGAAUAAGCACCGGCUAACUUCGUG
rnacentral:rRNA from 1 species